AUUGAACGCUGGCGGCAUGCUUUACACAUGCAAGUCGAACGGUAACAGGCCUUCGGGUGCUGACGAGUGGCGAACGGGUGCGUAAUGCAUCGGAACGUGCCCAGAGGUGGGGGAUAACGCAGCGAAAGCUGUGCUAAUACCGCAUGUGAUCUGAGGAUGAAAGCGGGGGACCAGGCAGCAAUGUUUGGCCUCGCGCCUUUGGAGCGGCCGAUGUCAGAUUAGGUAGUUGGUGGGGUAAAGGCCUACCAAGCCGACGAUCUGUAGAUGGUCUGAGAGGACGACCAGCCACACUGGGAGUGAGACAAGGACAAGACAACUACGGGAGGCAGCAGUGGGGAAUUUUGGAAAAUGGGCGCAAGCAUGAUACAGCAAUGCCGCGUGAGGGAAGAAGGCCGUCGGGUUGUAAAACGCUUUUGUACGGAACGAAAAGGGUCUGGCUAAUACCUGGGGCUGAUGACGGUACCGAAAGAAUAAGCAACGGCUAACUACGUG
rnacentral:rRNA from 1 species